GGGUUGCUAGACUAAGGUCUUCCAAUAACUCUACAUUAUUUUACUAGUCAUGCUAGAUAGUCCUCAAGCAAGCAGUUGUUAAAUCCUUGCUGAAUGAGCAGUCUCUUGAAUCUAGUGAUCUUACUAAUUGUUGCUAUGUCCUUAACCUGUAAACUGAAAAAAACUGUAAGCAACAGCAAAGCAAAUUAAUGGCUUUUAUUCAACCAAAUAUAUGAUGGAUGAUUUCUGGUGCACUGAUGGAGAUGAACAGACAACUAGAUGUGUCUCAGAUCUGCCACAGCUACCAGUCAAAUACGGAUCUUCAACUGUGCUCUGGUGGGACACAGGAGGAACAUGGAUCUGGAUAUAGGAGAUGGUCUUGUAGGUUGGGUAAAACAUUUAUCUAUUGAAAAGUCAAUGUGAAGUGCACAUCUUCAAAGUAAACUUAGCCAAAACAUGUCACAGGGAACUUAAUAGCUUUAAAGAUUUGUCAUCUGCUUCAUUAAGAUGUAAAUAUUCACGGAGAUCAGAAGUACACGGAGAAGUGAUUCAGCGUCAUCUAUGAAGAAAGGGAACAAAUAGAAACUGAAACCAAAGUUAAUCAUUUAUUCAGCUAUGACAUCCGGCUGGUGUUGAACCACGCUUAGCCAAUGGGCAAACAGAUUACUCAAAUGCCUUUAUAUUGCAAUGCAGUUACUUAGACUAUAAAACCAUUAGUGAAUGAGUAGAGAUGUCUUACAAAAAGACCAGAAAAUUCCACAAUUCUCUUUCUGUAUUAGAGGAAUUGCAGAAUUAUGCAAUGUCAGGCAAAGAGGUUACACCCUACCAAACAGAAUAACUUCAAAACAGGGAGCUCCAACUGAACGCAGGUUGAAUUUGGUUAUCAGUUGCUUAAACUUGUCAAAAUUCCAGAGUUGAGAUAUUCCAAGAGGUUGACGUGUGGAGAUUUAUAGACUGUGAAAGCUGGAAGUAAGACUCAUGAUAAUUAUAAUCACUUAAAAAUACAAAAGAAAUGCCCUGUAUCUUCAAUGGAUUAUGGAAAAAGUCAGAUAUAAAGUGCAGCUUGUACUCUGGACCACAUUAGCUUAUUUAGUCCAUACUGAUUUAGUCCAUAAUAGGGGUCACGGAUGAGCAUUCACAUCUUACUCCCCAUCAGUUCCCGUCCUGGCUUGGGGAAGCUAAUGAUCCAACCAGAAGACCAAAUUUGGUGAUGAAUACUUGUCACUUGCCCCAUGAGGCACAUUGCACAUAUGCUAAAAAGAAGUCCAUAACCACUUUUCCAAAGGAGUCAGUGGGCCUUUCAUCCAAACUGAAUAAAAAAUUGUCUGAUGCCUUCAGCAAAUGACUUCUC